AUGGACCACAUCGUGCAAUUCAUCAACCUUUGGCUUCAGCUCGAGCACAUUCAUCUUCUCGAGGAUGUGGAGGAUGACAUCACUUGGAAAUUCCUGCUUAAUGGUGAGUACUCCGCGGCUUUGGCCUACAAGGCCCAAUUCUUCGGGUCAACUCUCACUACCAUGAACAAGUAUGUUUCGGAAGUCUAGGCCCCUCCCAAUGUCAUGUUCUUCUCUUGGCUGGAUCUUCAAGGAAGGCAUUGGAUAGCGGACCGUCUACAGAAGAGACGAUGGGACAACUGCAGGCUUUGUAACUUGUGCAGGCGCGCCAACGAGACGGCACCCCACCUGUUCUACAAAUGUAGAUUCACCUUGCAAGUUUGGAUAUCAGUCAAGGAUUGGAUAGGCUUGGGAAGCCUCCACAUGCACGAAUGGGCAUCCAUGCUCUCCGUCAAGCAAUGGUGGUUAAACAUGUCGAGACUGGACAUUGCGCACGAGAAGGCCAUGGCGUCUAUGACCAUACUUGUUAGUUGGGUUAUUUCGAACAAGCGAAAUGCCAGAGUGUUGAGAAAGAACUCGACACCUCAUUCUACAUUCUCAAGAGCAUUCAGGAACAGUCGAGGCUUUGGGUCAGGGCGGACGCCAAGCAUUUGA
rnacentral:rRNA from 1 species